rnacentral:rRNA from 1 species
UACGAGUGCCUCGAGCGUCAUCCGGAAUCAUUGGGCGUAAAGGGUGUGUAGGCGGCGAUGUUAGUCUCGUGUUAAAUCUUUCGGCUCAACCGAGAGGCUGCAUGGGAAACGGCAUUGCUAAGAGGACGGUAGAGGUCUCUGGAACUCAUGGUGUAGCGGUGAAAUGCGUUGAUAUCAUGGGGAACACCAAAAGCGAAGGCAAGAGACUGGACCGCUCCUGACGCUGAAACACGAAAGCGUGGGUCGCGAAUGGG